rnacentral:tRNA from 1 species
GGAAAUGUGCCCGAAAGACUAAGGGCCACUUUGAUAGAGUGAUCAAUAGAGGCUAAAAUCCUCUCAUUUCCU